rnacentral:rRNA from 1 species
UUUAUGGAGAGUUUGAUCCUGGCUCAGGAUGAACGCUGGCGGCGUGCCUAAUACAUGCAAGUCGAGCGAACGGACGAGAAGCUUGCUUCUCUGAUGUUAGCGGCGGACGGGUGAGUAACACGUGGAUAACCUACCUAUAAGACUGGGAUAACUUCGGGAAACCGGAGCUAAUACCGGAUAAUAUUUUGAACCGCAUGGUUCAAAAGUGAAAGACGGUCUUGCUGUCACUUAUAGAUGG